rnacentral:rRNA from 1 species
ACGAACGCUGGCGGCGUGCUUAACACAUGCAAGUCGAACGGUGAAGCGCCUUCCUUUUUGGUGGGUGUGGAUGAGUGGCGAACGGGUGAGUAACACGUGAGUAACCUGCCCCCUUCUUCUGGAUAACCGCAUGAAAGUGUGGCUAAUACGGGAUAUUCUGGGUCUGUCGCAUGAUGGGUCUGGGAAAGAUAUUGUUUCGGUGGGGGAUGGGCUCGCGGCCUAUCAGCUUGUUGGUGGGGUGAUGGCCUACCAAGGCGGUGACGGGUAGCCGGCCUGAGAGGGUGGACGGUCACACUGGGACUGAGACACGGCCCAGAAUCCUACGGGAGGCAGCAGUGGGGAAUAUUGCACAAUGGGCGCAAGCCUGAUGCAGCGACGCCGCGUGAGGGAUGGAGGCCUUCGGGUUGUGAACCUCUUUCGCCAGUGAAGCAGGCCUGCCUCGUUUGUGGGUGGGUUGACGGUAGCUGGAUAAGAAGCGCCGGCUAACUACGUG